GCUGGGUGUGGUGGCGCAGGCCUGUAAUCCCAGCGGCUUGGGAGUCUGAGGCAGGAGGAUUGCAAGUUCAAAGCCAGCCUCAACCAAAUUGAGGAGCUAAGGAACUCAGUGAGACCCUGUCUCUA
rnacentral:sRNA from 1 species